AGUGAACGCUGGCGGUAGGCCUAACACAUGCAAGUCGAACGGCAGCACAGUAAGAGCUUGCUCUUACGGGUGGCGAGUGGCGGACGGGUGAGCAAUACAUCGGAAUCUACUUUUUCGUGGGGGAUAACGUAGGGAAACUUACGCUAAUACCGCAUACGACCUACGGGUGAAAGCAGGGGAUCUUCGGACCUUGCGCGAUUGAAUGAGCCGAUGUCGGAUUAGCUAGUUGGCGGGGUAAAGGCCCACCAAGGCGACGAUCCGUAGCUGGUCUGAGAGGAUGAUCAGCCACACUGGAACUGAAACACGGUCCAGACUCCUACGGGAGGCAGCAGUGGGGAAUAUUGGACAAUGGGCGCAAGCCUGAUCCAGCCAUACCGCGUGGGUGAAGAAGGCCUUCGGGUUGUAAAGCCCUUUUGUUGGGAAAGAAAAGCAGCAGGUUAAUACCCCGCUGUUCUGACGGUACCCAAAGAAUAAGCACCGGCUAACUUCGUG
rnacentral:rRNA from 1 species